UACGGAGGGUGCGAGCGUUGUCCGGAAUCACUGGGCGUAAAGGGCGCGUAGGUGGCGCAGGAAGUCAACGGUGAAAGUUCGGGGCUCAACCCUGAAUCGGCCGUCGAUACUCCUGGGCUCGAGCACUGUAGAGGCAGAUGGAAUUCCGGGGUGUAGCGGUGGAAAUGCGUAGAGAUCCGGAAGAACACCGGUGGCGAAGGCGGUCGA
rnacentral:rRNA from 1 species